rnacentral:lncRNA from 1 species
GGACAAACCGAGAGGACUAUUCAGACAUUAGAGGACAUGUUAAGGGCAUGUGUCUUGGACGAUCGGGGAAGCUAGGACAAUUUGUUACCACUUAUUGAAUUUACCUACAAUAACAAUUACCAUGCGAGCCUUGGAAUGGCGCCAUACGAGGCUCUGUAUGGGCGUAAAUGUUAGACACCAUUAUGUUGGUACAAGGACGGUGUGAGAGCAUGUUAGUAGGACCUGAGUUGGUACAACAGACGACUGAAAGGUUAGGUUAAUCGAUGAACAAAUGAAGACGUCCCAUAAAAGAUGGAAG